AAAAUUUAUAAUCCAAAAAGAAUUGAAGUAAUAUUAUUUUACAAACCACAUAAUAGCUGUGAAAAAAAGGUACAAUUUGUCAUAUUGUGUUUCAUAAAAUAUAUCACUUUAAUAUCGUAUAGUUUGUAAAUUUUAAAAUUCAGUACUCUCGAGUCCUUUCGGCGAUAUAAAGAGAAAAUCACAAAAUAGCAAAGUAAAAUUAUAAAAUACUGUAAAU
rnacentral:lncRNA from 1 species